UCUGAUCCAGAGCCACUACAGUAGUGAGUCAUUUAGCAGACUCUCUGAGUAGAGCCACUACAGUAGUGAGUCAUUUAGCAGACUCUCUUAUCCAGAGCCACUACAGUAGUGAGUCAUUUAGUAGACUCUCUGAGUAGAGCCACUACAGUAGUGAGUCAUUUAGUAGACUCUCUGAUCCAGAGCCACUACAGUAGUGAGUCAUUUAACAGACUCUCUGAGUAGAGCCACUACAGUAGUGAGUCAUUUAGUAGACUCUCUGAUCCAGAGCCACUACAGUAGUGAGCCAUUUAGUAGAGUCACUACAGUAGUGAGUCAUUUAGUAGACUCUCUGAUCCAGAACCACUACAGUAGUGAGUCAUUUAGCAGACUCUCUGAUCCAGAGCCACUACAGUAGUGAGUCAUUUAGCAGACUCUCUGAUCCAGAGCCACUACAGUAGUGAGCCAUUUAGUAGACUCUCUGAGUAGAGCCACUACAGUAGUGAGUCAUUUAGUAGACUCUCUGAUCCAGAGCCACUACAGUAGUGAGUCAUUUAGCAGACUCUGAUCCAGAGCCACUACAGUAGUGAGCCAUUUAGUAGAGUCACUACAGUAGUGAGUCAUUUAGUAGACUCUCUGAUCCAGAACCACUACAGUAGUGAGUCAUUUAGCAGACUCUCUGAUCCAGAGCCACUACAGUAGUGAGUCAUUUAGCAGACUCUCUGAUCCAGAGCCACUACAGUAGUGAGCCAUUUAGUAGACUCUCUGAGUAGAGCCACUACAGUAGUGAGUCAUUUAGUAGACUCUCUGAGUAGAGCCACUACAGUAGUGAGUCAUUUAGUAGAGUCACUACAGUAGUGAGUCAUUUAGUAGACUCUCUGAUCCAGAACCACUACAGUAGUGAGUCAUUUAGCAGACUCUCUGAUCCAGAGCCAAUACAGUAGUGAGUCAUUUAGCAGAGUCUCUGAUCCAGAGCCACUACAGUAGUGAGUCAUUUAGCAGACUCUCUGAUCCAGAGCCUCUACAGUAGUGAGUCAUUCAACAGACUCUCUGAUCCAGAGCCACUAUAGCAGUGAGUCAUUUAACAGACUCUCUGAUCAAGAGCCACUACAGCAGUGAGUGCGUACAUUUUCAUAUGGGAAUCGACCCCACAACGCUCUACCAACUGAGCCACACUGAACCUUCCUACUGUAUACUGGUAGGAAUUUGAACCAGUUUGUUACAACAGGAAAAUAAUUGUGCAGCAACAGGAAAUGUGUAUUAUAAUGAAUGGUAAGAGGCUGCGCUCUUUGGUCUUUACUAAAAAUCAUAGUGCAUAAAUAAAACACAAAGACGCAAAAAUUUGUGUUCUCAGGCCGUCCUCAGUGUGGAUGUCAGCGCACACACUCCUGUCUUCUACAGAUCAUUUCAUGUCACAUGGCCAAGAAAGAAAACAUCAAAGCAUAACAGAAGGUACAGUGAUCACUAACCUGUCCUCCAAGCCUUGCUUGUCAAUCACCAAAUAUACUUUAUGGCCAAAAGUAUGUGAACACCUGCUUGUUGAACAACAUCAUUAUAAAAUCAUGGGCUUUAAUAUGGAGUUAGUCC